rnacentral:rRNA from 1 species
UACGCUGUUAUCCCUAAAGUAACUUACUCUUCUAAUUCUUAGUAAAGGACCAGUUAAACUACAUAUUGUUAUUCUAUUUAUCCAACAGGUACUAAUAUGUUAUAUCUUUGGCGCCCCAACAGCUACGAAUUAGACAUAAUUUUUAUCUCAACCCUAAGAAUAUCUCUAUGACUGUGAAGUUUUAUAGGGUCUUAUCGUCCAUUAAUAGCAUUUAAGCCUUUUCACUUAGAAGUGAAAUUUGAAAUUUAUUAAAAAGACAGCCCACUUCUUGUCCGAACAUUCAUUCCAUCCCACAAUUUAAAG